rnacentral:rRNA from 1 species
UACGGGGGGGGCAAGCGUUGUUCGGAAUUACUGGGCGUAAAGGGCUCGUAGGCGGCCAACUAAGUCAGACGUGAAAUCCCUCGGCUUAACCGGGGAACUGCAUCUGAUACUGGAUGGCUUGAGUUCGGGAGAGGGAUGCGGAAUUCCAGGUGUAGCGGUGAAAUGCGUAGAUAUCUGGAGGAACACCGGUGGCGAAGGUGGCAUCCUGGACCGACACUGACGCUGAGGAGCGAAAGCCAGGGGAGCAAACGGG